rnacentral:rRNA from 1 species
GACUCCACGAAGCUGGAUUCGCUAGUAAUCGCGCAUCAGCCACGGCGCGGUGAAUACGUUCCCGGGCCUUGUACACACCGCCCGUCAAGCCAUGGGAGCCGGGGGUACCUGAAGUGCGUAACCGCGAGGAGCGCCCUAGGGUAAAACUGGUGACUGGGGCUAAGUCGUAACAAGGUACC